GAAAUGGUGCAGGGAGGCCCAUCUUUCUGCCAGUUAAGGAAUGAUGUUCACAGCAUUAUGGCACUUAAAAAGCAAUAAAAUUAAUAAAUGUGAAUUGGUCACCAGCCUACUAUUGACUGUAUUAUCCUGUGGAAGAAAACCCAGGCUUAGGAGCACGUGUCAGGUCUGUGCACCUCUUCUACUGUCCCCCCACCAGGAAACCUUUUUUUCUCAUCAAAAUCUAGCAAUCUGAGUGAUGUGUGUGCUGCAAUAACUUUUACUAGUGCUGUAUUCUCCUAUCAUAAUUAGACAUAAAAAAUGUUUAUACCAGAAAUCUCUCCAAGACAAGAAAUCAAAAAUUAAGUAAUUCCAUAAUCUUUUAAAAUUAUUAUUGGUGUAAUAACCCCCUCUGGGGAUUAACUACAGUAGCAAAGCCUAUGAUUAAGGUUGCUCAGCCUUAUCAUCGUUGAAUUCGGUUUUCUAUGGUUUAUAACUUUGCCAGACUGUAAUAAUUUGGAUUAAAAUUUUCCCACAAUGUGAAAAGCAUCUGUGUUUAGUUGAAUAUUUCAGGAAGCUUUAAAGAAAAAAUGAACCAGCACUUUUUAAAACCGGGUCAGGGAAAAUAUGUUUUUCUGCCAAUAUUAAAACAAAAAUCCCACUGCUCUUUUAUUAGAAAGUUUUUGCCUCUUCUGCUUUUAAGUAUCAUUUCAGGCAGGGACUUGGAAUUUGGCAGAUAGGUUGCCCGUGUGUCAGGGAAGUGCUGUUCUUGCACACAGCUGCCUCCAUUUAGCCAAACUGUCUCUGAUACAUAUGCGCUUUUUUUUUUUUUGUCACCGGAGAGUUAUUUUAGGUCCUAAAGGUUUCAGAUCCCGGGAGUACUCUGAGAAGGUGAGGCAAGCUGGGGACUCCUGCAGCAUGAAUGUCUGGGAUGUGAAGAACAGCAGGAAGAGGAAAAUGUACAUGGCCACCGUGGCUGGUAUCCCGAGCUCAGAGUUGGAUCUGUGGUUUGGAAGGAGAAAUGUACAAAAAUCCUGGUAAAGACCUGAGAGAAGUUCUUUUAAAGACUCAAGUUCAUUGGUGGUUCAGAAGUUACAUAUGAACAAAAAAAAACACAGCAAAA